GUUUUCGUGGUGUAGUGGAUAGCAUGGCUGCCUCGUAAUCAGUAGACUCGGGUUCGAAUCCCGACGGAGACU